rnacentral:lncRNA from 1 species
UUUGACUAAGAGAUACAUGGGAUGUUUGCAACGUAUCGACGGCCUUCUCCACAUCCGAGAACUUUUGUGAUAUGUCCAACAUGGUUUGCUGCAUAGCUUUGAGGGUUUCGGCCAAUGAUGUCUCAACGGCGUCUCCUCCGGACAUUGUCGCUUAUCUCGGAAAUGUAGAAAAGAAGAAAUCUGACCACUCAAGAAUCCUGAUUUCCCCACAGGCGGCGCCAAAAUGUGGAUGUCGGAUUCACACACUC